GACGAACGCUGGCGGCGUGCUUAACACAUGCAAGUCGAACGGAAAGGCCCUGCUUUUGUGGGGUGCUCGAGUGGCGAACGGGUGAGUAACACGUGAGUAACCUGCCCUUGACUUUGGGAUAACUUCAGGAAACUGGGGCUAAUACCGGAUAGGAGCUCCUGCUGCAUGGUGGGGGUUGGAAAGUUUCGGCGGUUGGGGAUGGAUGCGCGGCUUACCAGCUUGUUGGUGGGGUAGUGGCUUACCAAGGAUUUGACGGGUAGCCGGCCUGGGAGGGUGACCGGCCACAUUGGGACUGAGAUACGGCCCAGACUCCUACGGGAGGCAGCAGUGGGGAAUAUUGCACAAUGGGCGGAAGCCUGAUGCGGCAACGCCGCGUGCGGGAUGACGGCCUGCGGGGUGUAAACCGCUUUCGCCUGUGACGAAGCGUGAGUGACGGUAAUGGGUAAAGAAGCACCGGCUAACUACGUG
rnacentral:rRNA from 1 species